UAGUGUAGAGGUGAAAUUCGUAGAUAUUAGAAAGAACACCGAUUGCGAAGGCAACUUUCUGGAUCAUUACUGACACUGAGGAGCGAAAGCAUGGGUAGCGAAGAGGAUUAGAUACCCUCGUAGUCCAUGCUGUAAACGAUGUGUGCUAGACGUUGGAAAUUUAGUUUUCAGUGUCGCAGCAAAAGCGUUAAGCACACCGCCUGGGGAGUACGACCGCAAGGUUAAAACUCAAAUGAAUUGACGGGGACCCGCACAAGUAGUGGAGCAUGUGGUUUAAUUCGAAGAUACGCGCAGAACCUUACCAACACUUGACAUGUUCGUCGCGACUCUAAGAGAUUAGAGUUUUCGGUUCGGCCGGACGAAACACAGGUGCUGCAUGGCUGUCGUCAGCUCGUGUCGUGAGAUGUUGGGUUAAGUCCCGCAACGAGCGCAACCCUUACUUUUAGUUGCUACCAUUUAGUUGGGCACUCUAAAAGAACUGCCAGUGAUAAGCUGGAGGAAGGCGGGGAUGACGUCAAGUCCUCAUGGCCCUUAUGUGUUGGGCUACACACGUGCUACAAUGGUACUCACAAUGAGAAGCGAAGAGGCAACUCUAGGCUAAUCUCUAAUAGGUACCUCAGUUCGGAUUGUACUCUGCAACUCGAGUACAUGAAGCUGGAAUUACUAGUAAUCGCGGAUCAGCGCGCCGCGGUGAAUACGUUCCCGGGUCUUGUACACACCGCCCGUCACACCAUGGAAGUUGGUUACACCUUAAGGCAAAGUGUAAAAUCUUUGACUACGGUACGAUCAGCGACUGGGGUGAAGUCGUAACAAGGUAGCCGUAGGGGAACCUGCGGCUG
rnacentral:rRNA from 1 species